rnacentral:rRNA from 1 species
AUUGAACGCUGGCGGCAGGCCUAACACAUGCAAGUCGAGCGGAUGAAGGGAGCUUGCUCCUGGAUUCAGCGGCGGACGGGUGAGUAAUGCCUAGGAAUCUGCCUGGUAGUGGGGGAUAACGUCCGGAAACGGGCGCUAAUACCGCAUACGUCCUGAGGGAGAAAGUGGGGGAUCUUCGGACCUCACGCUAUCAGAUGAGCCUAGGUCGGAUUAGCUAGUUGGUGGGGUAAAGGCCUACCAAGGCGACGAUCCGUAACUGGUCUGAGAGGAUGAUCAGUCACAACGGAACUGAGAAACGGUCCAGACUCCUACGGGAGGCAGCAGUGGGGAAUAUUGGACAAUGGGCGAAAGCCUGAUCCAGCCAUGCCGCGUGUGUGAAGAAGGUCUUCGGAUUGUAAAGCACUUUAAGUUGGGAGGAAGGGCAGUAAGUUAAUACCUUGCUGUUUUGACGUUACCAACAGAAUAAGCACCGGCUAACUUCGUG